rnacentral:rRNA from 1 species
GCGUGCUAAGGUAGCUAAGUUAUGGCCUAGUUAAUUGUAGGCCCUGUGAAUGGUUUGACGAGUUUUCUUCUGUCUCUAGCUUGUUUAAGUGAACUUGAAUUGGAUGUGCAAAUGCUUCCUUGGUAAAGAAAGACGAGAAGACCCCGUGAAGUUAGAAAUUAAUGUGCAGAAUAGUGGGAGGCUACUUUUUCUGCCUUAUGGUUUUGGCUGGGGCAGCAAGGGGGCAAAAGUAGACCCCUUAAAAUUUAAUUCUGGUGAGUAAUGACCCAUAAGGUUUAAGGGUAUGAUUAGUAGAAGAAGUUACUCCGGGGAUAACAGCGUAAUCCGCCUUGACAGUCCUUAUAGAUGGGUGGGUUUGCGACCUCGAUGUUGGCUCUGGAUAUCCUGAAGCUGUAGGCGGUUUCAAGGGUUGGUUCGUUCGCCCAUUAAAAUCC